rnacentral:misc_RNA from 1 species
GGAUGACAAAAUACUUAAUAUAUGUUCAAACAUAAAGUAAACAAUGUAUCACACCAGUCCGCACAGACUAACACUUAAACAGCCUCCAAGAUAUAUAAUGCUGUCUUAAACAUCUGUUGUCUAAGAGGAAAAGUAAGUCGAGAUCUUCAGACUUCACAGCAUCCAACUCUCUAGGCUUAAUAGCUCGAUUCGACCUACUAUGACUCAUCCGACCAUGAAGCGAUAGCUAGAGUGUGGCGUCCACCGCAGGCGACUAGUUUAGCACACCACCGACCAGUAGAACUACUGCGAUUGGUUGGCGAUGGCACACCAAUUGGCACUUCCGUUGGCUGGCCAGUUGUUAUCUUCCUUCCAUAUCCAAGGCGACCAUGAUCUCCCCGUCCAAAUGAAAACAUUCGCCCGUCACGAGUGCACGCAACCGAAUGUGUGCCCCCACAGGAUACCUGGACAAUAUCUUCGCCUGCUAGAAGUUGGACUUUCUGAGGAACCAUUUUACUGCUUUUGUCAUUGUCUCCGAAUCCGAGCCUCCCAUGCUCUCCUCUUCCCCAAGCAUACACCUCUCCAUCAUCAGUCAAAGCUGUGGAAUGCCAACCUCCUGCAGCAAUAUCAACCAAUGUGAGCCCAGAUAAGCCAUGAACAGGAAUAGGCUGUGAUCUCGGUUGAGUAUCUCCAGUCCCAAGUUGGCCAUAUUCAUUACUUCCCCAUGCCCACAACAUUCCAUCCUCUAGAAGUGCCAAAUUGUGGAAUGCCCCCACUGCAAUCAGCCUCACCUUUUCAAGGCCUUGUACUCGUACAGGAGCCCAUAUCUGUU